rnacentral:tRNA from 1 species
GGGAUUAUAGCUCAGCUGGUUAGAGCGCUACGUUGACAUCGUAGAGGUCAUUGGUUCGAUUCCAAUUAGUCCCACCA